AUUCUGCGAUGAGGCAGUCUCUGUAUACAGGUAUGCGCGUGUAAGUGCUUUCGUAUUGUUCUUUCCUUAUUAAAGAGCAGCUCCCCUCACGCACGCACAAGUGCUCCUUUCGCCGUUGUCUCUUUUUGCUGUAGAUGCAGACGCGCCUUCACAAUGCAUUUCUUGUUCUUUUUUUUUUGCUUCUCCACUCUUCUCGAAGCAUAUCUUUAUGCGCAGGCGCUGUCAUGGAGAGCCGGCAUGGCGUAUCACGCCCACGCAAGGCAUCGAGAGGUCAGCCGCGCACGCGUGAUGGACGAGAAAGGCGCGAGGAGCUCCACACCAAUGAGCGCCACAGCGCAUACGCGCGCAACAUGCGGCGUCUCGGCCGUCCAACGGGGCGGGCUGAUGGGGCGCAGGUGCUGGAAGCGCGGCGAGAGCACCCCCGAACGGCACGAUCGAGCCCCUCCGACUGCCAUGCGGAGAGUCACCGCACCAUAUUAUGGGAUGCCGCUGCUGCAAGCGACUGGAGGGGGGAGGCAUGACGUGCAGGUGGCAGGGUGCAGGGUCUCGGAGGGCGCUGACCUGAGGCCGGCCGCCUUCCUCCUCGAGCUCCUGCGGCGCACACCUCGACCACCCCUUAUCGCCCGCACGACGGACGCCACCGCCUCCGCCCUCGAGCAGGACGCUGGGCGCGGCCCGCCUGGAUCAGGGCGUGCCGUCCAGCCGAGUCUCCGUGUGGGCCGAUUGGACGGCGGGCCGGCUUGUCCUAGUCGACAAGGAUUCCGCCGCACCCCUGCGAGGGUAGGUGAGCUGUGGUUGUGUGCGUCGAUCGGCUGACCUGUGUCUGGACGAAUGAGCAGGCUGGAGAAAGAAGGGGUAAAGAACCUCGGAGCUGACGUGGGGCGUGUGCUUGUGUGCCAGUUUUCCUGUCCCUCAUGCCCAGUGGCCGUCGUGGAAAAGCGUCGCUCAACAAGCCAUGUCAGAGGCGAGCGUGAAAUGAGGCUGGAGACAGCUAGCCGCUGUUUUCUUCCUUGCGCGAAAAAUUGAAGUGAAGCGGAAGACUUACUUGCUCUGUGCGGGCUGCUUCGUACGUCGGCGCCGUGCUCUCUUGCGGCGCUUGCCUCCCCCUCUGCCCCCCAAAGUAGUAUAUCCAUGCAUCUGUACCCUGGGUAUGUUGUAUCUCAUGCACGCUUCAUCGCCGCUGCGACUCUCUUCGCUUCUACGGUUCCGCGUGCCUCUUCUUUUCAUACGCCGUGUGGUGCUUGGACCACGACGGGGAGGAUUCACACAUAAAAAUCCAAG
rnacentral:misc_RNA from 1 species